AAAUUGAAGAGUUUGAUCAUGGCUCAGAUUGAACGCUGGCGGCAGGCCUAACACAUGCAAGUCGAACGGUAACAGGAAACAGCUUGCUGUUUCGCUGACGAGUGGCGGACGGGUGAGUAAUGUCUGGGAAACUGCCCGAUGGAGGGGGAUAACUACUGGAAACGGUAGCUAAUACCGCAUAACGUCGCAAGACCAAAGAGGGGGACCUUCGGGCCUCUUGCUAUCGGAUGUGCCCAGAUGGGAUUAGCUAGUAGGUGGGGUAACGGCUCACCUAGGCGACGAUCCCUAGCUGGUCUGAGAGGAUGACCAGCCACACUGGAACUGAGACACGGUCCAGACUCCUACGGGAGGCAGCAGUGGGGAAUAUUGCACAAUGGGCGCAAGCCUGAUGCAGCCAUGCCGCGUGUAUGAAGAAGGCCUUCGGGUUGUAAAGUACUUUCAGCGGGGAGGAAGGGAGUAAAGUUAAUACCUUUACUCAUUGACGUUACCCGCAGAAGAAGCACCGGCUAACUCCGUGCCAGCAGCCGCGGUAAUACGGAGGGUGCAAGCGUUAAUCGGAAUUACUGGGCGUAAAGCGCACGCAGGCGGUUUGUUAAGUCAGAUGUGAAAUCCCCG
rnacentral:rRNA from 1 species